rnacentral:lncRNA from 1 species
UGAAAGGCUGGUCCUGCUGAUCCAAAGCUGCAGAUCUUCAUUACACAGGACAACAGGAUGACUGGGAGGAAUCCCAGUGAGGUUUCAGUAUUGAUGGCGUCACAGAAGCCAGAGAUUUUGAACCAGACCAAUGACGUGAACAUUUGCAAGUGAGAAUGUGUGGAGAGAGGGGUAUACUGUGGACACACUGUGACACACUACAGCUUCCACAAUGAGAUGUUUUCUAAGCUUUGUUUGUUUGUUUGUAUGUUUCUUAUUUUAGUGGGGAGGUUGCAAGGUCCAAGAGUGGAUAUGAAGCGAUGGGGAGGCUACCACCCACCAAAGAUAGUGAAAAGAAAAGAUAUGGGAGAAGUGGACCUGUUUAGAAAGAUUCUUUGGAGCAACUUCUGUCUAUGUCGUCUGGAAAUUGGCAGUUCAGUUCACAGGUUAGCAGUGGCAGCUCAAUCCACUCACAAACACUUUGUGGAUACACCAGCAGUCUAGUUUGGUAGAGUCGGGUUAGCAACAGUGGUGACACGACCUAACCGAGACAGCCAGGCCUCAGUCUCUGCACGAGUCAGCAAGAGGAACCAGCAGGCACGCCAGGAGUUCUCGGCUGUGCCUCUCUCAGCAAAGUGAAGAUCAGUGAAGACUGGAAGCCUUGAGACCCAUAAGCACUGCACAGCUAGCUCUCUCUACAAGCAAGCCAAGCUCAGCAUCAGCCACUGACUGUCAAGUCCUACUUAUACCCUCCAAACAUCACAUGGCCUCCAUGGGCCUCAGCAUGUGCAUCUGUCUCAGAUGACAUCACUCUGCCAAUCAAUCGAAGUUCACAGAAGUGUCAAGAAACUGCAGCACACCACCAGAAGUUUUUUUGGUGCUGUUUCUCCCUAUGCAGUCCCGACAAAUACAACUCGACUAUGCAAGGCCCAGUGUGAUGGAAAAUUAUUGCAGGUUGGAGGCCAGCCUGGUCUACACAGGAAGUUGUAGAGAGAGACUCUAUCUCAAGAAACAAAACCAAAGAUAACAAUAAGAUGUAAGAAGCAAACAGAAUCUACAUUUUCCUGGGCUUCCUCAAGAAAGGAAGCAAGGAAACACAGUGGCUGUUUCACUGACCGACUACGCCAGCUGUCAUCACUAGAACCCUUGAUGAGGCCUGUUUUUUUGGGAGUCAUGGCUGCUUUGAUUCCUCAAACAGCUUGCUUUGUGUUGGUUUGGUUUUUGAGGUACAGUCUCAUUACAUGGUCUAGCCUGGGCUAGAAGCUCAUGGUCCUCUUACCUCAGCCUCCUGAGUGCAGGGAUAUAUGCUUGCACAACCACACUUCUUAAAUUUUUUUCUUUAAUUACAUUCACUGACAACCUCAUUGCCCUGGCAAGUCCUGCAUUUUCUCCAUGUCACGUGGAAGGAGAGUGACGAUGGAAUGUCGAAAGCCCAGGAGCAGUGCCUCUCCUCCCCAUCCAUUACUUCCCAGCAUAUCCUGGCUACAAGCUCCUCCUCACAUCCCUAUGCAGGGAGCAGGUUGGCAGCUUGCCUAGUCUCGAAGUCUCAGUCAUUAUUGACUGGCUGUCUGAGUUUCCUCUUCAGAGUAUCUGAUCACCCACCUCCCUAAAAUAGCCCCAGCCAGGGUCAGAUUACCCGCAGCUGCCAGGUCAUACCUGCAAGACGAGCUCUCCCGACAAGCCUAGGGGAAACAAAUCCAUGAUGCUAGUGGUGAUACCUGGAGCAAGUCAGUGGGACCUGUCCAGUCUUGGAUCGCUCAGUGGGGAGUAGACGUGUUAGAGACUAGGGCAGCUCAUCCGUCUCUUUCUUUCUUAUAAACCUUCCACCUCCUCCAAGUCUAUUAUAGAAAGGAAACUCGAGAGCAGAUCCUUAUUUUUCUCCUGGACUUCCUACAUUUGUCCUUGUUACCCCGAAGUCUACCCUCAAUCUAGAGUCCAAAGAAGUAGAGUGUUUGCCUACUACAAAUGAAGCUCUGGGUUGGAGAAUUAGCACCCCAUAAAAGGUUUGGUAAUCCUUUGGUAAUCCUAGCACUUGGAAGGUAGAGGCAGUAGGAUCAGAAGUUCAAGAUCAACCUUGUAAAGUAAGGGGCUAGCCUGUGCAACAUUAGGUAGGGUCUCAAAAGAGCAGUAACAAAAAACACAUUGGGAUACACCAAUGCUUUGCUCAGAACCAUCCAGUGGCUCCUAUCCAACCAGAGGCAAAGCCUUACAAUGGCUGAAGGGCCUGCAGGAUCUGCCAUCAUCCUCCUAAGCCUUUAGGAACCUGACUCCUUAUUAUAGUCUCUCUCUCUCUCCCCCCCGCCCCACUCAGAACAAAAGUGUUGCUCUUUAUAUGCACAGACCCCUCCCACUUCAGGACCUUUGUCCACCCAGGGGACUCUUUCCCCAGAGCUCCACUCAGCCCACUCUUCAGUCUUCCUGCAAACCCCCCUUCUCAGCAAAGCCUCCACUACUGUAAACAGAGCUAAUUACUCCUGGAGGCUGUCCUGGCUCCCUCUCCUCCACCUCAUCCUGUCCUAUUAUUCCCAAAGAAUGAAUGAGUCAUAUCCUGGCAUAGCAUGUAACUUACCUCUGUUCUCUAAUCAUUAGACAUGUAAUCUCUAAGAAGACAUAGAUGUUUGUCCUUUUUGUCUAGUUUGUUGGCUAAUGCAUCUCAAAUGUCGACAACAAGCACAUAGUGGGAGUUCAGAAACCUUGCUGCAUCCCUCUGCAGUGAGGAAAGUGAGGCCUACUCUACAUCAGAAACACUGAGACUUCUGGUAGCAGACUUCAAUUCCUCUCUUCUGGAGCCUGUGGCCCCCCUCUACUGUUCAUCUGCUCCCCAUCCACAGCUGGUUUUAGGGAAAGUUCCGGGG